CUUACCUUAAUAGUAAGAGUGACGGGCGAUGUGUGCAUAUUUUAGAGCUAAAAUCAAAAUUAUAAUCUUUUAAUUUUUACUAUCAAAUCCACCUUCAUUAAAAUAUUUAAAAAUUAAAUUCGUUUAAAUAAAUUUAUUGUAACCCAUCCCUACUUGAAUAUAAGCUACACCUUGAUCUGAUAUAAAUUUUAAUUUAAAUUAUCGAAAAUUAUUAUUCUAAUAAAAUAUUCUGAUAACGACGGUAUAUAAACUGAAAAACAAAUUCAAGUGAGGUACAUCGUGGAUUAUCAAUUAUAGGACAGGUUCCUCUGAAUAGACUAAAAUACCGCCAAAUUUUUUAAGUUUCAAGAACAUAACUAAUACUACCUAAGUGUUAUCAUUACAUUUUAAAUAAUA
rnacentral:rRNA from 1 species